rnacentral:pre_miRNA from 1 species
GGAGUACUCCCUCCAUUCGGAAUUACUCGUCCAAGAAAUGAAUGUAUCUAGAUGUAUUUUAGUUGUAGAUACAUCCAUUUUUAUUCAUUUUUGUGACAAGUAAUUCCGAACGGAGGGAGUACUUU